AGAAUACUAACAAUGCUCUAAUUAGACUAUAAUAAUGGUAAACAAACAUAAUCAAAUUCAAAACAACUCAAAGAAAUUUCAAACAAAUAAUAAAAUUCUUAAAGAAAUAUUAGAAUGAUCACAAAUUUUACUCAAAUAUAUGUCAAUUCAACCUUAAUUUAAUUCUAUUUAAAACCCUAUUGAAUUUCAUUCAACUUUAGAUCAAACCUAAUUAAAUCUUAAAUCCUAAUAAUUCCUAAAUCCUAAGUCAAAUCCUAAACAAAUCUUUAAAUUAAAUCCUAUUCCAAAUCCUAAACCCUAAACCAAACCCUAAAUCAAAUCCUAAACCAAACCCUAAAUCAAACUCUAAACCAAAUCCUAAAUCAAAUCCUAAACCAAAUCCUAAUUCAAUUCUAAAUCCUAAACCAAACCUUAAAUCAAAUCCUAACCAAAUUCUAAUCCAAACCCUAAA
rnacentral:lncRNA from 1 species